UACGAAGGGUGCAAACGUUGCUCGGAAUCAUUGGGCGUAAAGCGCACGUAGGCGGCCCCAAAAGUUGGAUGUGAAAUCCCUCGGCUCAACCGAGGACGUGCAUCCAAAACUGUGGGGCUUGAGUACUGAAGAGGAUCGCGGAAUUCCCGGUGUAGAGGUGAAAUUCGUAGAUAUUCGCAAGAACACCAGUGGCGAAGGCGGCUUACUGGUCCGGUUCUGACGCUGAGGCGCGAAAGCGUGGGGAGCAAACAGG
rnacentral:rRNA from 1 species